rnacentral:rRNA from 1 species
AGGCUUUGAUCCUGGCUCAGGACGAACGCUGGCGGCGUGCUUAAUACAUGCAAGUCAACGAGAACCGGAGUACUUGUAUUCCGGGGGCAGUGGCGCACGGGUGAGUAACACGUAGGUAAUCUGCCUUUAGGUCUGACAUAACUCGUCGAAAGACGGGCUAAUAUCAGAUAAUGCAGCGGGGCCACAUGGUCACAGUUGUUAAACCCUUCGGGGCCUAAAGAUGAGCCUGCGUCCCAUUAGGUAGUUGGUAAGGUAAUGGCUUACCAAGCCGACGAUGGGUAGCUGGUCUGAGAGGAUGAUCAGCCACACUGGAACUGAGACACGGUCCAGACUCCUACGGGAGGCAGCAGUAAGGAAUAUUGGUCAAUGGGAGAAAUCCUGAACCAGCAACGCCGCGUGAGGGAUGAAGGGCUUUUGCUCGUAAACCUCUUUUUUAUGGGAAAAACAUACGAUUAUUUCGUGUUGAUUGUACCUUAAGGCAUAGCUCCGCUACUAGCUGGCCC